UACGGAGGGUGCGAGCGUUGUCCGGAAUCACUGGGCGUAAAGGGCGCGUAGGCGGCUUGGUAAGUAGGGGGUGAAAUCCUGCGGCUUAACCGCAGGGCUGCCUUCUAAACUGCCGAGCUCGAGCACAGUAGAGGCAGGUGGAAUUCCCGGUGUAGCGGUGGAAUGCGUAGAGAUCGGGAAGAACAUCAGUGGCGAAGGCGGUCUGCUGGGCCGUUGCUGACGCUGAGGCGCGACAGCGUGGGGAGC
rnacentral:rRNA from 1 species